AAGUCGUAACAAGGUUUCCGUAGGUGAACCUGCGGAAGGAUCAUUAAUGAAUUCUUAUUCAUCCAUGUAUGUGAACUUGCUGAAGCCGGAUUGCCUCUGGUGCUUAACUGCGCUGGGGUUUGAAGGCGGCGGCUCUGAAGAUUGGUGGACUUUGAGCCAUCAGUCGUUUUAUACCCACCCUCUGAUCAUUAUUAUGACUGAAAUCACUUUUGUUGAGUGUAAAAACAAAACUUAAGGACAACUUUUAGCAACGGAUCUCUAGGCUCUC
rnacentral:misc_RNA from 1 species